AUUGAACGCUGGCGGCAGGCCUAACACAUGCAAGUCGAACGGUAACAGGAAGAAGCUUGCUUCUUUGCUGACGAGUGGCGGACGGGUGAGUAAUGUCUGGGAAACUGCCUGAUGGAGGGGGAUAACUACUGGAAACGGUAGCUAAUACCGCAUAACGUCGCAAGACCAAAGAGGGGGACCUUAGGGCCUCUUGCCAUCGGAUGUGCCCAGGUGGGAUUAGCUAGUAGGUGGGGUAACGGCUCACCUAGGCGACGAUCCCUAGCUGGUCUGAGAGGAUGACGAGCCACACUGGAACUGAGACGCGGUCCAGACUCCUACGAGAGGCAGCAGUGGGGAAUAUUGCACAAUGGGCGCAAGCCUGAUGCAGCCAUGCCGCGUGUAUGAAGAAGGCCUUCGGGUUGUAAAGUACUUUCAGCGGGGAGGAAGGGAGUAAAGUUAAUACCUUUGCUCAUUGACGUUACCCGCAGAAGAAGCACCGGCUAAUUACGUGCCAGCAGCCGCCGUAA
rnacentral:rRNA from 1 species